rnacentral:tRNA from 1 species
GCCUUAGUAGCUCAGUUGGUAGUCAGCGUUACCUUCGUACAGAAUCUCGUAUAGGAAAAGGUAAAGGUCCGGAGUUCGAUUCUCCGCUGAGGCA